rnacentral:tRNA from 1 species
GGGGAUGUAGCUCAGCUGGGAGAGCACCUGCUUUGCAAGCAGGGGGUCGGCGGUUCGAAUCCGCUCAUCUCCACCA